UGGGGAAUAUUGCACAAUGGGGGAAACCCUGAUGCAGCGACGCCGCGUGAGCGAAGAAGGUUUUCGAAUCGUAAAGCUCUGUCCUAUGGGAAGAUAAUGACGUUACCAUAGGAGGAAGCCCCGGCUAACUACGUGCCAGCAGCCGCGGUAAUACGUAGGGGGCAAGCGUUGUCCGGAAUCACUGGGCGUAAAGGGUUCGCAGGCGGAAAUGCAAGUCAGUUGUGAAAGGCAGAGGCUCAACCUCUGUAAGCAAUUGAAACUGUAUUUCUUGAGAUGUGGAGAGGCAAGUGGAAUUCCUAGUGUAGCGGUGAAAUGCGUAGAUAUUAGGAAGAAUACCGGUGGCGAAGGCGACUUGCUGGACACAAACUGACGCUGAGGAACGAAAGCGUGGGUAGCAAACAGG
rnacentral:rRNA from 1 species